GAUGAAGAACGCAGCGAAAUGCGAUAAGUAAUGUGAAUUGCAGAAUUCAGUGAAUCAUCGAAUCUUUGAACGCACAUUGCGCCCGCCAGUAUUCUGGCGGGCAUGCCUGUCUGAGCGUCAUUUCAACCCUCAUGCCCCUAGGGCGUGGUGUUGGGGAUCGGCCAAAGCCCGCGAGGGACGGCCGGCCCCUAAAUCUAGUGGCGGACCCGUCGUGGCCUCCUCUGCGAAGUAGUGAUAUUCCGCAUCGGAGAGCGAUGAGCCCCUGCCGUUAAACCCCCAACUUUCCAAGGUUGACCUCAGAUCAGGUAGGAAUACCCGCUGAACUUAAGCAGAUCAAUAAGCGGAGGA
rnacentral:misc_RNA from 1 species